GUCUCAAAGCUCAGUUGGCUGGAGCAUGGUACUAAUACUGCCAAGGUUGUCAGUUUGAUCCCUGCAUGGGUCA